CGGGGUGCAGCAGGCGCGAAAACUUUGCAAUAGGCGAAAGCCUGACAGGGCUAUCCCGAGUGCCAUCCGCUGAGGAAGGCUUUUACCCAGUCUAGAACGCUGGGGGAAUAAGGAGAGGGCAAGUCUGGUGUCAGCCGCCGCGGUAAUACCAGCUCUCCGAGUGUGUGUGGAUGUUUAUUGGGCCUAAAGCAUCCGUAGCUGGCUAAGUUAGUCCCUUGCUAAAUCCACCGAAUUAAUCGUUGGAUCGCGGGGGAUACUGCUUGGCUAGGGGACGAGAGAGGCAGACGGUAUUUUCGGGGUAGGGGUGAAAUCCUAUAAUCCCGGGAAGACCACCAGUGGCGAAGGCUGUCUGCUAGAACGCGCCCGACGGUGAGGGAUGAAAGCUGGGGGAGCGAACCGGAUUAGAUACCCGGGUAGUCCCAGCUGUAAACGAUGCAGACUAGGUGUUUGAACGGCCACGUGCCGUUCUAGUGCCGCAGGGAAGCUGUUAAGUCUGCCGCCUGGGGAGUACGAUCGCAAGAUUGAAACUUAAAGGAAUUGGCGGGGGAGCAC
rnacentral:rRNA from 1 species